rnacentral:rRNA from 1 species
UACGUAGGAUGCAAGCGUUGUCCGGAAUUAUUGGGCGUAAAGAGCGCGCAGGCGGUUUUUCAAGUCAGAUGUGAAAUAUCCGGGCUUAACCCGGAGGGGUCAUUUGAAACUGAGAGACUAGAGUACAGCAGAGGAUAGCGGAAUUCCCGGUGUAGUGGUGAAAUGCGUAGAGAUCGGCAGGAACACCCAGGGGGAAACCAGCCGACUGGGCAUUUGCUGACGCUGAGGUGCGAGAGCGUGGGGAGCGAACCGG